rnacentral:lncRNA from 10 species
ACAGAGACAUAAAGCAAAUUCAUGAUUGUAAUGAUUAUUUAGUUUAUAAUUUUUAAAGUUUGUAAAAGUAGAAUCAAACAUCAAGCAUUCCAUAACAAUAUUUUUGGUUCAAUAUUAGGUUUCAUACCCAUGUUGAUUGGCCAUAGCUAUUCAUUCAUUUGCAUGGUACUCCCAUGUGGCAAAUGGGAAUGUGCCACAGUUUACUUAUCCUGACUCCUGUCAACAAUCACUGGAGGUUGUAUAUAGUCCAUUCUCACACUGCUAUGAAGAAAUACCCAAGACUGGGUAAUUUAUAAAGGAAAGAGGUUUAAUUGACCCACACUUCCACAUUGCUGGGGGGCCUCAGGAAACUUACAGUCAUGACAGAAGGCAAAGGAGAAGCAGGCACCUUCUUCACAGGGCAGCAGGAUGGAGUGAGUGCAAGCAGGGGAAAUGCCAGAUUCUUAUAAAACCACCAGAUUGGCCGGGUGCGGUGGCUCACGCCUGUAAUCCCAGCACUUUGGGAGGCCGAGGCAGGCGGAUCACGAGGUCAAGAGAUCAAGACCAUCCUGACCCACAUAGUGAAACCCCAUCUCUACUAAAAAUACAAAAAUUAGCUGGGUUUGGUGGUGCAAGUCUGUAGUCCCAGCUACUCAGGAGGCUGAGUCAUCAGAAUCGCUUGAACCCGGGAGGCGGAGGUUGCAGUGAGCCAAGAUCGCACCACUGCACUCUAGCCUGGUGACAGGGCAAGACUCCAUCUCAAAAAUAAAUAAAUAAAUAAAUAAAAAUAAGAUCUCACAAGAUUCACGUACCAUCAUUAGAACAGCAUGGGGGAACCACCCCCACGAUCCCAUUACCUCCACCUGGUCCUGCCUUUGACACGUGGGAAUUACAAUUCAAGAUGAGAUUUUGGGUGGGGACCACCGCCAAACCAUAUUAGGGGUGUUCCCAGUGUGUCACCAUUACUGAACAGGUUACUGUUAAUACUCUCCAUAGUAUGUUUUGAUAAACAGAUGUUCUUAUCUAAUGUAAUGAAAUUUAUCUCUUUGUACCUUACUUUUUGUCUUUAUUUUUUGUGCUUAUGAACUACAGUAAGGUCAUAAAGAUGUUCUCCUGUAUUUGCUUCUAAAAAUUGACAUUUGGCCAGGCAC